rnacentral:lncRNA from 1 species
CAUCCCUAAACAACAAGCCCACUGACAGCUGUUUUGGUUUCUUACUGAACUCUGCCCAUUGGCCUCUAGUGGGAGAUGAGCUGUGUAGCAAAGGCCCCAAGUGCUGCUCAAACACCUGAAUGUGUGCUCUGACGAGCUGGCAGUGACUGCAGCUGCCACAGUGGAGGUGGCAGGCUGAGUUUGGGAUCUCCCAAGCUAGACAAACAUGAACAAAAGAUAGUAGUCGGUAGCUGUGGCCCAUUCUUCAGGGGAGCAUGUAGAGCAUGGUACAGUAAAAUUAGCAUCCCCUCUAGUCUUGGUUGUUUUUUUCUCCUCUGUGCUAAACAUGCCCCUCUGUGAGAGGAAUGAUCUGUUGGGGUGAACAUCUCGUAAGAUGUUGUCAUCCAACAGAACCUGUGAGGAGCUCAGGUGCUCUUCCCCUUGUUUUGUCCCUCAGAGGACAGGGCUGGCAAUGCUCCCUCUGGAUAUUGAAGGCCAAGCUUGAGUGAAAUUGUGGACACAUUCCUGAAGCAUAGGGCACAUCGAAAUCAAGCACAGCCUAUUCAACAGUGGCAGCCCAUUUCAUUCCUCUGCAAUCUCUCACCUUCAUUCUAAUGUUCUCUUUUUUUCAGUUUAUGGCGAAGUCACAUAUAGCUCAGAAGACUCUUCUGAGAUUGAUGUUGUCACUGUCAGUGACGAUGAGUCUGCUCUGCGUCAGCAAAAGCGCCCUGGAGAGGCGCUUGGUUCCAGUCCAUCUGAGGAACAAAGCAGACUCAUGCCCUCCAGAGCAGGUGAAAGUCUGCAGACAGCGCCAAGAGACCUCGAGGAAAGAGGUUCACCUGCUUUGGAGCCUGGUAAGAACAGAAACUGCUGCUGGACGGUUGGAGAUCAUUGGAACAUGUGCUUUUGUCAGUUCCUAGGCCCU